rnacentral:lncRNA from 1 species
AUCCAUGUAUAAUAUGAGAAAGGUGAUCGCACUCCCACUGAUUUUCUUAUACACAAGAUUUCUCUUCAUUUUUGAUGAAAUCAAACGAUUUGAUUGCCUCAUCAAAAUGAUGGUUUCAGCUCUGAGAAGCUUGCUUUAAUCUAUAUAUGGAUCAUUGUAGCUUGCAGACUUUGUGAUCACCAUCAUCGGAUAUGAAAUCCAUAAGCUGCU